GCUGGGCAUGGCAGGUAUGCCUGUAAUUCCAGUCACUCAGGAGGCUGAGGCAGGAGGAUCACAAGUUUGAGGCCAGUCUCAUCAAUUUAGCAAGACCCUAUCUCAU
rnacentral:sRNA from 1 species